rnacentral:rRNA from 1 species
GAUCAGUGGCGAACGGGUGAGUAACACGUGAGUAACCUGCCCCAGACUCUGGGAUAAGCCUUGGAAACGAGGUCUAAUACUGGAUAUGAGAUGCCCCUGCAUGGGGAGUGUCUGGAAAGAUUUAUCGGUCUGGGAUGGACUCGCGGCCUAUCAGCUUGUUGGUGGGGUAAUGGCCUACCAAGGCGACGACGGGUAGCCGGCCUGAGAGGGCGACCGGCCACACUGGGACUGAGACACGGCCCAGACUCCUACGGGAGGCAGCAGUGGGGAAUAUUGCACAAUGGGCGCAAGCCUGAUGCAGCGACGCCGCGUGAGGGAUGAAGGCCUUCGGGUUGUAAACCUCUUUCAGCAGGGAAGAAGCGCAAGUGACGGUACCUGCAGAAGAAGCGCCGGCUAACUACGUGCCAGCAGCCGCGGUAAUACGUAGGGCGCAAGCGUUGUCCGGAAUUAUUGGGCGUAAAGAGCUCGUAGGCGGUUUGUCGCGUCUGGUGUGAAAACUCAAGGCUCAACCUUGAGCUUGCAUCGGGUACGGGCAGACUAGAGUGCGGUAGGGGUGACUGGAAUUCCUGGUGUAGCGGUGGAAUGCGCAGAUAUCAGGAGGAACACCGAUGGCGAAGGCAGGUCACUGGGCCGCAACUGAC